rnacentral:rRNA from 1 species
AGUCGACGAUUGUAUCCACGAUUAGAGUUUGAUCCUGGCUCAGGAUGAACGCUGGCGGCGUGCCUAACACAUGCAAGUCGAACGGUGUCUUUCGAGGCACAGUGGCGCACGGGUGAGGAACACGUAGCUGACCUGCCCUCCAGUGCAGGAUAACGGCUCGAAAGGGCUGCUAAUACCGCGUAAGCUCCCGCGCGUUAGGGGCGCGAGAGAAAAGGCGUAAGUCGCUGGAGGAGGGGGCUGCGGCCCAUCAGGUAGAUGGUGCGGUAACGGCGCACCAUGCCGACGACGGGUCGGGGGUCUGAGAGGAUGACCCCCCACACUGGGACUGAGACACGGCCCAGACUCCUACGGGAGGCAGCAGUGAGGGAUAUUGCACAAUGGGGGAAACCCUGAUGCAGCGACGCCGCGUGGGUGAUGAAGGUCUUCGGAUCGUAAAGCCCUUUUCUGCGUGACGAGCAAGGACGGUAGCGCAGGAAGAAGUCUCGGCUAACUACGUGCCAGCAGCCGCGGUAAAACGUAGGAGGCAAGCGUUAUCCGGAGUUACUGGGCGUAAAGCGCGUGCAGGUGGUGUGUCAAGUUCGGUGUGAAAGCCGUCGGCUCAACCGGGGGAUGGCACGGAAGACUGGGACACUGGAGGCAGCUAGAGGAGCGUAGAAUUCCGGGUGUAGCGGUGAAAUGUGUAGAGAUCCGGAGGAAUACCAGUGGCGCAAGCGGCGCUCUGGGGCUGACCUGACACUGAGACGCGAAGGCGUGGGGAGCGAACGGGAUUAGAGACCCCGGUAGUCCACGCGGUAAACGAUGCGGACUGGGUGUCCACUCCUCGCAAGAGGAGGGGGUGCCGAAGCCAACGCGGUAAGUCCGCCGCCUGGGGAGUACGGUCGCAAGGCUAAAACUCAAAGGAAUUGACGGGGGCCCGCACAAGCAGCGGAGCGUGUGGUUUAAUUCGAGGCUACACGAAGAACCUUACCUGGGUUGGACAUGCAGGUGGUAGCGACCUGAAAGGGAAGCGACCUUCGGGAGCCUACACAGGUGCUGCAUGGCUGUCGUCAGCUCGUGUCGUGAGAUGCUCGGUUAAGUCCGAAAACGAGCGCAACCCUCGGCGGUAGUUACACGUGUCUACCGCGACUGCCCGGGAGAACCGGGAGGAAGGUGGGGAUGACGUCAAGUCAGCAUGGCCUUUAUAUCCAGGGCGACACACACGCUACAAUGGCGCGUACAAUGGGUCGCAAGGGCGCGAGCCGGAGCCAAUCCACAAAGCGCGUCGUAGUUCGGAUUGCAGGCUGCAACUCGCCUGCAUGAAGUCGGAGUUGCUAGUAACCGCGCAUCAGCCAUGGCGCGGUGAAUACGUUCCCGGGCCUUGUACACACCGCCCGUCACGUCAUGGGAGCUGGUCACGCCUGAAGCCGGUCGGGCAACCGCAAGGGGCAGACCGUCGAAGGCAGGGCGUGUGACUGGGACGAAGUCGUAACAAGGUAGCCGAAUCGUGGAUACAAU